UACGUAGGGUGCUAGCGUUACUCGGAAUUACUGGGCGUAAAGCGUGCGCAGGCGGCGCGUUAAGUCAGGUGUGAAAGCCCCGAGCUUAACUUGGGAAUUGCGCUUGUGACUGGCGUGCUGGAGUGUGGCAGAGGGAAGUGGAAUUCCACGUGUAGCAGUGAAAUGCGUAGAGAUGUGGAGGAACACCGAUGGCGAAGGCAGCCUCCUGGGCCAGUACUGACGCUCAGGCACGAAAGCGUGGGGAGCAAACAGG
rnacentral:rRNA from 1 species